rnacentral:rRNA from 1 species
AUUGAACGCUGGCGGCAGGCCUAACACAUGCAAGUCGAACGAGUGGCGGACGGGUGAGUAAUGUCUGUGAAACUGACUGAUGGAGGGGGAUAACUACUGGAAACGGUAGCUAAUACCGCAUACCAUCGGAUGUUCCCAGAUGGGAUUAGCUAGUUGGUGGGGUAAAGGCUCACCUGGGCGACGAUCCCUAGCUGGUCUGAUAGGAUGACCAGCCACACUGGAACUGAGCUACGGUCCAGACUCCUACGGGAGGCAGCAGUGGGGAAUAUGGGACAAUGGGCGCAAGCCUGAUGCAGCCAUGCCGCGUGUAUGAAGAAGGCCUUCGGGUUGUAAAGUACGUUCAGCGGGGAGGCGUUACCCGCAGAAGAAGCACCGGCUAACUCCGUGCCAGCAGCCGCGGUAAUAC